rnacentral:rRNA from 1 species
UACGUGAGGUGCAAGCGUUAAUCGGAAUUACUGGGCGUAAAGCGUGCGCAGGCGGUUCGCUAAGACCGAUGUGAAAUCCCUCGGCUUAACCGGGGAACUGCGUCUGAUACUGGCGGACUUGAGGCCAGUAGGGGUCACUGGAACUGACGGUGGAGCGGUGAAAUGCGUAGAUAUCGUCAGGAACGCCGGUGUGAAGACGGGUGACUGGGCUGGUUCUGACACUGAGGCACGAAAGCGUGGGGAGCGAACGGGG